AUAUAUACUUCUUACUGCUACUACUACUACUACUACUACUACUACUACUACGCAUUUUUAACGUGUUUAAUAUUACUACAUGUCAAAUUAGAAUAAGAUAAAAAAUAAAAAAAUAACCCUACACAUAUACCACUUAACAAUUAUAACAAAAUUGUUUUUUUUUUUUUUUCUUUUUACACAAAUUUAACAUUUGUAUGUUUUUUUUUUAAAAAAAAAAUAAAACAUUCAUAUUUCUGAUCAUCUAUUUAUUAUAAUCAUAAUAAAAAAUUAUUAACUUACCCUUAUUAUUAUUUAUUAAAUGUACAUAGCAAUUAUUAAUGCUUGUAAUUGUUAAUAUUUGCAAUUAUUAAUGUUUACUGUAUAAAAAACUUUAACAGUUUGAUUUUUGAUUUUUAUGCAUAUAUUUAUGUAUAUAUGCAUGUACGUAUGUGUUUUUUUUUUUUUUUUUUAUUAUAUUGUAAAUAGUACUUGUUAAAUUAUUUGAUUAUAUAACGUUUGUAACUUACUUUUUAUGUAAAAAAAAAAAAAAAAAAAAAACACAAUAUUAAAAACGAGUGUAGUAAAUAUAAUAAAAAAAAAUAGUAAAUAUAUAUAUACAUAUAUAUGUACAUUUUCACUUUUUUAUUUUAACUGCAUAAAAAUAUAAAUGACUGUCUAACUGGCAUGUUCUUAUAGAACUUAAAAAAAAAAAAAAAAAGAUAUAUUAAAAGCGUGAGUGUUUAUUAAUAGCAUAAUUAAAUUGUGGUUGUAAAAAAAGUUUGUGGUGAUAAUGUGGAGAAUGGGGAUAAUUUUGUUUUGUAUGACAAUACCUUUUUUUUAACAUUAUGGCGAACAUCAAUCAAAAUAAUAUUUUUCAUUUUUUUAUGACUUAGUAAGCAUAUUUUUCAAAUUUUGUACAACCUGCUGCUUCAAAUUCGGACGAGUAAAAUAUUCAGCUGCAUAUUCAUACACAUUUUCUGGUUUAUCUUUUAACAGAUCACUUAAAAAAAAUUGUAUAACAUAUUUUAAAACCUUUUGUCUUUUUAAAUACAUUUCAUUUUGUAUUAUUUUUUGGGUUUUUAAUUUUUCUACUUCUACUCUUUGUUCUUCUGACAAGUCAUAAAAAAACUUUUUUUUCAUCAUAUUUUUUUUUUUCAUCAUGUUCCUUUUCAAACGUUAUGUGUUUAUUUUCGUCUGUUAAAAUAUGCAUUUUUCAAGUUGUUAGUUAUAAAAUAGGAAGGUUUUAUGCUUUGAAAUCUAAGAGAAGAAUUGUCUACAUAUGUAUUUGAACAAGUUGGUAAUAUAAGAACUUUAUUAUCACCCAUUUCGUUUAUUAUUUUUUCUUUAUCAUAGUGCAUAGAAUCAUCGUUUUUUGACCCGUAAAGUUUUUUCAUUGGUAUAUUAACUUAAGUCAAAAAAAAAAAAAAAAAAAAUAUGGCUAUUAUAUUAUAUACAUAUACGUAUAUAUAUAUAUAUAUAUAUAUGUUAUAUAAUUUGUUAAAACGUUUUGGUAAUUUUUUUUUUUUUUUUAUAAAUAUUAAACUAUUCAUAAUGUAUUUGAUUAGAUAAGGAAGAGAUAAAUCGUGUUAAAAAAGAAAAAAUAACAAUAUUUCAUUUUUAUGUGCAACAAAUUGUUUAUUUAUUAUUUUUUUUUUCUGUUCAUACAUAUUAAUUAAGACAUGGCUAUUUAUGUCAUUUUUUUGGUCAUGUUUGUGUAUUUCUUUUUUUUGUUUUUUCAAAUGGCUAGCACACUAUAAUUUUAACUGUACUAAAUAAUAAGUAGUGAGUCAUAUUUCUUAUUAACUAACGAAAUAAAAAUAACAUAAUUUUUUUUUUUUUUUUUUUU
ensembl:lncRNA